CACCUUGAUCUUGGACUUUCCAGCCUCCAGAACCGGGAGAGAAUAAAUGUCUGCUGUCUAAACCACCCACUUUGUGGUACUCGGUGGGGGCAGCCGGAGGAAACUAAUUCAGCCACCAACCACCUCGGCUGCCUUGAAGGUGACUCCUCUUGCUGCCAUUAUAGAUUGCUAGGAAGUCUGGGGUUUUGUGACCAUAACUUCCCUCAGCCAAGACUUCCUGAUGAAGCUGACAACAAUGGGACCCUGAAUGACCACGUGGAGGAAAGCUGCUCACCAACCAGAAACACUUGCCUUGGAACACCUGCUCACUGUUCUGUGAGCAAGAAAUAAACCAGUAUGUCAAGCUGCUGAAAUCUGGAAACCUCUUUGUUAUAGCAGCUGGGUUAUGCUGAUUACUAGAAGAUAUACUUUAAAAACAAAUUCAGUAUUUUCCUGACUCACACAAGUCCACAGCCAACCUUUUAACUGGGUGGAGUGUUUUCUUUGUGUGAAUUGAACUUUAGUCUCAAUUUUCUCUCUCCUCCAGCUGGGUAGGACCUUUGUGGUGUGGGUCCUGCGUGUCACAACUAAUCGGUGAGUUUGGUGGAACUGCUUGCUUUUAUAUACUAUUAAUUUUGUUUGCUUCUCCACUUUUAUGAAUUCUUACAGGUGAUGCUGACAUUUUCAGCAGGAGGAAUGUUUUACACAAAUCAGAGGUGCUCUGAUACCUGAAACACAUUGCCUUGAAAGAAAUACCAUAUUUACUCACAGGAAUCUAAAAGGUCACACUUGUGAGGGAGGACACCAGACUAAGAAGCCUGAUUUGGGAGGCAAUGGGAAGCCAUUGUAAGUUCUCUAGAAGGAGAAUGAUAUGACUGAAGAGGUGUUUUAGGAAGAUGAAUCUGAAGUAGCACACAGAAGAAAUGAGAUAUAAAAUAGCUCAGAGGUAGAGGGACCAACUGUUGCAACAAUCCAGUUGUGAAAUAAAGGGGCCUGGUCUGGGAUGCUGCCA
rnacentral:lncRNA from 1 species